CUCAACUUGAGAGUUUGAUCCUGGCUCAGAACGAACGCUGGCGGCAGGCUUAACACAUGCAAGUCGAGCGCCCCGCAAGGGGAGCGGCAGACGGGUGAGUAACGCGUGGGAAUCUACCCUUUUCUACGGAAUAACGCAGGGAAACUUGUGCUAAUACCGUAUACGCCCUUCGGGGGAAAGAUUUAUCGGGAAAGGAUGAG
rnacentral:rRNA from 1 species